UACGUAGGGUGCAAGCGUUGUCCGGAAUUACUGGGCGUAAAGCGUGCGCAGGCGGUUUUGUAAGUCUGUCGUGAAAUCCCCGGGCUCAACCUGGGAAUUGCGAUGGAGACUGCAAGGCUAGAAUCUGGCAGAGGGGGGUAGAAUUCCACGUGUAGCAGUGAAAUGCGUAGAGAUGUGGAGGAACACCGAUGGCGAAGGCAGCCCCCUGGGUCAAGAUUGACGCUCAUGCACGAAAGGCGUGGGGAGCAAACAGG
rnacentral:rRNA from 1 species